rnacentral:rRNA from 1 species
UUAAGCGUGUAGGCUGGUUUUCCAGGCAAAUCCGGAAAAUCAAGGCUGAGGCGUGAUGACGAGGCACUACGGUGCUGAAGCAACAAAUGCCCUGCUUCCAGGAAAAGCCUCUAAGCAUCAGGUAACAUCAAAUCGUACCCCAAACCGACACAGGUGGUCAGGUAGAGAAUACCAAGGCGCUUGAGAGAACUCGGGUGAAGGAACUAGGCAAAAUGGUGCCGUAACUUCGGGAGAAGGCACGCUGAUAUGUAGGUGAAGUCCCUCGCGGAUGGAGCUGAAAUCAGUCGAAGAUACCAGCUGGCUGCAACUGUUUAUUAAAAACACAGCACUGUGCAAACACGAAAGUGGACGUAUACGGUGUGACGCCUGCCCGGUGCCGGAAGGUUAAUUGAUGGGGUCAGCGCAAGCGAAGCUCUUGAUCGAAGCCCCGGUAAACGGCGGCCGUAACUAUAACGGUCCUAAGGUAGCGAAAUUCCUUGUCGGGUAAGUUCCGACCUGCACGAAUGGCGUAAUGAUGGCCAGGCUGUCUCCACCCGAGACUCAGUGAAAUUGAACUCGCUGUGAAGAUGCAGUGUACCCGCGGCAAGACGGAAAGACCCCGUGAACCUUUACUAUAGCUUGACACUGAACAUUGAGCCUUGAUGUGUAGGAUAGGUGGGAGGCUUAGAAGUGUGGACGCCAGUCUGCAUGGAGCCGACCUUGAAAUACCACCCUUUAAUGUUUGAUGUUCUAACGUUGACCCGUAAUCCGGGUUGCGGACAGUGUCUGGUGGGUAGUUUGACUGGGGCGGUCUCCUCCUAAAGAGUAACGGAGGAGCACGAAGGUUGGCUAAUCCUGGUCGGACAUCAGGAGGUUAGUGCAAUGGCAUAAGCCAGCUUGACUGCGAGCGUGACGGCGCGAGCAGGUGCGAAAGCAGGUCAUAGUGAUCCGGUGGUUCUGAAUGGAAGGGCCAUCGCUCAACGGAUAAAAGGUACUCCGGGGAUAACAGGCUGAUACCGCCCAAGAGUUCAUAUCGACGGCGGUGUUUGGCACCUCGAUGUCGGCUCAUCACAUCCUGGGGCUGAAGUAGGUCCCAAGGGUAUGGCUGUUCGCCAUUUAAAGUGGUACGCGAGCUGGGUUUAGAACGUCGUGAGACAGUUCGGUCCCUAUCUGCCGUGGGCGCUGGAGAACUGAGGGGGGCUGCUCCUAGUACGAGAGGACCGGAGUGGACGCAUCACUGGUGUU